GGCCCUAUGGGUUGUAAACUGCUUUUACAGAGGAAGAACCCUCCUUACGUGUAAGGAGCUGACGGUACUCUAUGAAUAAGGAUCGGCUAACUCCGUGCCAGCAGCCGCGGUAAUACGGAGGAUCCAAGCGUUAUCCGGAAUCAUUGGGUUUAAAGGGUCCGUAGGCGGGUCUAUAAGUCAGUGGUGAAAGUCUGCAGCUUAACUGUAGAACUGCCAUUGAUACUGUAGACCUUGAAUUAGUAUGAAGUGGUUAGAAUGUGUAGUGUAGCGGUGAAAUGCAUAGAUAUUACACAGAAUACCGAUUGCGAAGGCAGAUCACUAAUACUAUAUUGACGCUGAUGGACGAGAGCGUAGGUAGCGAACAGGAUUAGAUACCCUGGUAGUCUACGCCGUAAACGAUGGUUACUAGCUGUCCGGCCUAAUUGAGGGCUGGGUGGUUAAGCGAAAGUGAUAAGUAACCCACCUGGGGAGUACGUUCGCAAGAAUGAAACUCAAAGGAAUUGACGGGGGCCCGCACAAGCGGUGGAGCAUGUGGUUUAAUUCGAUGAUACGCGAGGAACCUUACCAGGGCUUAAAUGCAGUCUGACGUAUCUGGAAACAGAUAUUUCUUCGGACAGAUUGCAAGGUGCUGCAUGGUUGUCGUCAGCUCGUGCCGUGAGGUGUCAGGUUAAGUCCUAUAACGAGCGCAACCCCUGUGGUUAGUUGCCAGCGAGUAAUGUCGGGAACUCUAGCCAGACUGCCGGUGCAAACCGUGAGGAAGGUGGGGAUGACGUCAACUCAUCACGGCCCUUACGUCCUGGGCCACACACGUGCUACAAUGGUAGGGACAGAGAGCAGCCACUUCGCGAGAAGGAGCGAAUCUAUAAACCCUAUCACAGUUCGGAUCGUAGUCUGCAACUCGACUACGUGAAGCUGGAAUCGCUAGUAAUCGCAUAUCAGCCAUGAUGCGGUGAAUACGUUCCCGGGCCUUGUACACACCGCCCGUCAAGCCAUGGAAGCCGGGGGUACCUGAAGUCCGUUACCGCAAGGAGCGGCCUAGGGUAAAACUGGUAACUGGGGCUAAGUCGUAACAAGGUAGCCGUACCGGAAGGUGCGGCUGGAACACCUCCUUUCU
rnacentral:rRNA from 1 species